AGUGAACGCUGGCGGUAGGCCUAACACAUGCAAGUCGAACGGCAGCACAGUAAGAGCUUGCUCUUACGGGUGGCGAGUGGCGGACGGGUGAGGAAUACAUCGGAAUCUACUUUUUCGUGGGGGAUAACGUAGGGAAACUUACGCUAAUACCGCAUACGACCUACGGGUGAAAGCAGGGGAUCUUCGGACCUUGCGCGAUUGAAUGAGCCGAUGUCGGAUUAGCUAGUUGGCGGGGUAAAGGCCCACCAAGGCGACGAUCCGUAGCUGGUCUGAGAGGAUGAUCAGCCACACUGGAACUGAGACACGGUCCAGACUCCUACGGGAGGCAGCAGUGGGGAAUAUUGGACAAUGGGCGCAAGCCUGAUCCAGCCAUACCGCGUGGGUGAAGACGGCCUUCGGGUUAUAAAGCCCUUUUGUUGGGAAAGAAAAGCAGCAGGUUAAUACCCCGCUGUUCUGACGGUACCCAAAGAAUAAGCACCGGCUAACUUCGUG
rnacentral:rRNA from 1 species